GGGAAUGCUGGUAGGGUCAGCCCAGUUGGCAUGGAUAGUAGAGAUAUCGGGGAGAACUUAAAAGCAUAUUCGUAUGAAAGCCCAGUUGGCAUGGAUGGUAGAGAUAUUGAGGAGAACUUAAAAGCAUAUUCGUAUGAAGGGACAAGUACUUUCAGUUCAGAGGCUAAAAGUUCCCAUACUCAGACAUUCACCACUGAUGGAGGUCAUAGGAUGGUCCAAAAUUUGAGUAUGUCUGCAUUGUCUGUCAUUGAUGAUAUUUCAGAGUCUUAUUCAUC
rnacentral:lncRNA from 1 species